UACAGAGGGUGCGAGCGUUGUCCGGAAUCACUGGGCGUAAAGGGCGCGUAGGUGGCGACCCAAGUCUGUGGUGAAAGCUCGACGCUCAACGUCGAGUCGGCCAUAGAUACUGGGUUGCUUGAGCACUGUAGAGGCAGAUGGAAUUCCUGGUGUAGCGGUGAAAUGCGCAGAUAUCAGGAGGAACACCGGUGGCGAAGGCGGAUCUCUGGGCCAUUACUGACGCUGAGGAGCGAAAGCGUGGGGAGCGAACAGG
rnacentral:rRNA from 1 species